rnacentral:tRNA from 1 species
AGCUCUGAGGUGUUAUCAUAGCAGAUUGCAAAUCUGAAGAAGCAGACUGACGUUUGCCGGGGCUU